rnacentral:rRNA from 1 species
CCUACGGGUGGCAGCAGUGAGGAAUAUUGGUCAAUGGCCGAGAGGCUGAACCAGCCAAGUCGCGUGAGGGAAGACGGCCCUACGGGUUGUAAACCUCUUUUGUCGGGGAGCAAAGCGAGUCACGUGUGACUCAUUGAGAGUACCCGAAGAAAAAGCAUCGGCUAACUCCGUGCCAGCAGCCGCGGUAAUACGGAGGAUGCGAGCGUUAUCCGGAGUUAUUGGGUGUAAAGGGUGCGCAGGCGGAGGUGCAAGUCAGCGGUAAAAUUGCGGGGCUCAACCCCGUACCGCCGUUGAAACUGCAUCCCUUGAGUGCGCGAGAAGUAUGCGGAAUGCGUGGUGUAGCGGUGAAAUGCAUAGAUAUCACGCAGAACUCCGAUUGCGAAGGCAGCAUACCGGCGCGCAACUGACGCUGAUGCACGAAAGCGUGGGUAUCGAACAGGAUUAGAUACCCGGGUAGUC